rnacentral:rRNA from 1 species
GACGAACGCUGGCGGCGUGCUUAACACAUGCAAGUCGAACGGAAAGGCCCUGCUUUUGUGGGGUGCUCGAGUGGCGAACGGGUGAGUAACACGUGAGUAACCUGCCCUUGACUUUGGGAUAACUUCAGGAAACUGGGGCUAAUACCGGAUAGGAGCUCCUGCUGCAUGGUGGGGGUUGGAAAGUUUCGGCGGUUGGGGCUGGACUCGCGGCUUAUCAGCUUGUUGGUGGGGUAGUGGCUUACCAAGGCUUUGACGGGUAGCCGGCCUGAGAGGGUGACCGGCCACAUUGGGACUGAGAUACGGCCCAGACUCCUACGGGAGGCAGCAGUGGGGAAUAUUGCACAAUGGGCGGAAGCCUGAUGCAGCAACGCCGCGUGCGGGAUGACGGCCUUCGGGUUGUAAACCGCUGUCGCCGGUGACGAAGCGUGAGUGACGGUAAUGGGUAAAGAAGCACCGGCUAACUACGUG